rnacentral:rRNA from 1 species
UGGCGGACGGGUGAGUAAUGUCUGGGAAACUGCCUGAUGGAGGGGGAUAACUACUGGAAACGGUAGCUAAUACCGCAUAACGUCGCAAGACCAAAGAGGGGGACCUUCGGGCCUCUUGCCGUCGGAUGUGCCCAGAUGGGAUUAGCUAGUAGGUGGGGUAACGGCUCACCUAGGCGACGAUCCCUAGCUGGUCUGAGAGGAUGACCAGCCACACUGGAACUGAGACACGGUCCAG